GAUGAAGAACGUAGCGAAAUGCGAUAAGUAAUGUGAAUUGCAGAAUUCCGUGAAUCAUCGAAUCUUUGAACGCACAUUGCGCCCUCUGGUAUUCCGGGGGGCAUGCCUGUCCGAGCGUCAUUGCAAACCCUCAAGCCCGGCUUGUCUGAUGGGUCCCGCGUCCGCCUCUUAGGGGGCGGACGGGCCCGAAACGCAGUGGCGGCGUCGCGGUAAUCCGAUCAGCCAGAGCGUAUGGGGACAUCUCGUCACACGCUUUAGGCGCGGACCGGCGCCCGCCGAGACCAAAUCUCACAUCCAAGGUUUGACCUCGGAUCAGGUAGGGAUACCCGCUGAACUUAAGCAUAUCAAUAAGCGGAGGA
rnacentral:misc_RNA from 1 species